AGGCUUGCUUCAGCAGCCCAUGUACUAAAAUUGGAAGGAUACAGAGAUUGGCAUGGCCCCUAUGCAAGGAUGACACACAAAUUCGCGUGUUUUGAGGAUUGCGU
ensembl:snRNA U6 U6 spliceosomal RNA